GACGAACGCUGGCGGCGUGCCUAAUACAUGCAAGUUGAGCGCUGAAGGUUGGUACUUGUACCAACUGGAUGAGCAGCGAACGGGUGAGUAACGCGUGGGGAAUCUGCCUUUGAGCGGGGGACAACAUUUGGAAACGAAUGCUAAUACCGCAUAAAAACUUUAAACACAAGUUUUAAGUUUGAAAGAUGCAAUUGCAUCACUCAAAGAUGAUCCCGCGUUGUAUUAGCUAGUUGGUGAGGUAAAGGCUCACCAAGGCGAUGAUACAUAGCCGACCUGAGAGGGUGAUCGGCCACAUUGGGACUGAGACACGGCCCACACUCCUGCGGGAGGCAGCAGUAGGGAAUCUUCGGCAAUGGACGAAAGUCUGACCGAGCAACGCCGCGUGAGUGAAGAAGGUUUUCGGAUCGUAAAACUCUGUUGGUAGAGAAGAACGUUGGUGAGAGUGGAAAGCUCAUCAAGUGACGGUAACUACCCAGAAAGGGACGGCUAACUACGUG
rnacentral:rRNA from 1 species